CUCCGCUCUAAGGACCCGGAUUGUGGUUAUGGCAGGUCAAGAAGCUCCUACUGUUACCAGGACAAGAAGAAGAGCUACACAGCAUGGUAGGUAGAUUGUGGAAUUAUAACUAGUUAUUGAAGAUGGUCCGUGGCAAAGUUUGUUUCUAUUGAAGUCCCUUCAUUAUCUGAUAACAAAGUUUGUUUCUUUUUCUUAGGUGGUUCAACUUUGGCUGAUCUUCAUCAGGC
rnacentral:lncRNA from 1 species